rnacentral:piRNA from 1 species
UUGAUGCUUCGAGCGGAUAGU